rnacentral:rRNA from 1 species
UGAGGAAUAUUGCACAAUGGGCGCAAGCCUGAUGCAGCGACGCCGCGUGUGGGAUGAAGGGGCUACGCCUCGUAAACCACUGUAGCCCGGGACGAAAAACGCCUUAGAGGCGUUAGACGGUACCGGGAAAGUAAGGGUCGGCUAACUACGUGCCAGCAGCCGCGGUAAUACGUAGGACCCAAGCGUUGUCCGGAUUUACUUGGUGUAACGGGUGCGCAGGCGGAUGGGUAAGUCAGGGGUGAAAGUCUGCAGCUUAACUGUAGAAUUGCCUUUGAUACUGCUCAUCAUGAAUGUGGGAGAGGUUGCUGGAAUUCCAGGUGUAGCAGUGAAAUGCGUAGAGAUCAGGAAAAACACCAGUGGCGAAGGCGGUCAACUGGCCCAUAACUGACGCUCAUGCACGAAAGCGUUG